rnacentral:rRNA from 1 species
UGCGUAGGUGGCGCCAUAAGUCGGGUGUGAAAUUUCGGAGCUCAACUCCGAAACUGCAUUCGAUACUGUGGUGCUUGAGGACUGGAGAGGAGACUGGAAUUUACGGUGUAGCAGUGAAAUGCGUAGAGAUCGUAAGGAAGACCAGUGGCGAAGGCGGGUCUCUGGACAGUUCCUGACACUGAGGCACGAAGGCCAGGGAGCAAACG